rnacentral:rRNA from 1 species
GAUGAACGCUGGCGGCGUGCUUAACACAUGCAAGUCGAACGAAGCACUUAAGAUUGAUUCUUCGGAUGACGUCUUUUGUGACUUAGUGGCGGACGGGUGAGUAACGCGUGGGUAACCUGCCUCACACAGGGGGAUAACAGUUAGAAAUGACUGCUAAUACCGCAUAACCCGAUAGGAUCGCAUGAUCCAGACGGAAAAGAUUUAUCGGUGUGAGAUGGACCCGCGUCUGAUUAGCUAGUUGGUGAGGUAACGGCCCACCAAGGCGACGAUCAGUAGCCGGCCUGAGAGGGUGAACGGCCACAUUGGGACUGAGACACGGCCCAAACUCCUACGGGAGGCAGCAGUGGGGAAUAUUGCACAAUGGGGGAAACCCUGAUGCAGCGACGCCGCGUGAGUGAAGAAGUAUUUCGGUAUGUAAAGCUCUAUCAGCAGGGAAGAAAAUGACGGUACCUGACUAAGAAGCCCCGGCUAACUACGUGC